rnacentral:misc_RNA from 1 species
CACUUCAAAAUUCUCUUCCGAUUAUUCCAGAACAGAAGCGUGUGAUUAAAUCUGGGUCUGUUGCUUCGAUCGUUGAACACAAACGCACAAAUCUCUCAGGAAAACAUAAUAAAGCUCGCUGAUCAGCCUAUCGCAGUAGAGAAGAUAGGGAUACUUGUUCAAAAAAGCUUCCAAGGUACUUCACGUUCAAAAGAAAUAUCUUUAAGCUGCAAAGACCAAAAGUUUCAGCAUACAAGGGUUGAGGUAAGUAUCUCUCUCUCUUACCACAAACUGGCCAUAGACUAGUCCUCUGGCCUGUGGCAUGUUCAUCAUGUAUUUUUUCCAUGUUGUUUUAUCCCAGAAAUAGAUCAAAGAUGGCAAAAACACAAAUUCACGCUCAAUCACAACAAAAUUCUAAAACACAAAUUCACGCUCAAACGAAAUUUAAACACACGAAAACAUAACACAAACACACUUCCAAACGCAUGCAUAUUCAAAAGAAAAAAGAAAACACAAUUCACGCUCAAUCACAGAAAAAAUCUAACUCAAACAGUAAAACUAAACAAUAGGAACAAAAAACUUCACAUUCCACGAAUUGAUGUGUAACUUGCAGGGAAGAGUCCUCUUCUGAUUCCCAGUUUAUGGAGGAACCAUGGACGGUAGAUUGGAUGACAUGGUCUUGUGAUGCUCGAAACUCGAUUAUUCUCGAACCAAUCAUUCUACCGAGCUUUUCUUCUUACAAGUCAAAUCAGACCAAUUCUGCAAAAAGCUUAACCUCUGUCAAGAAGUGACGGCCCUUGCUUCAGACUGUCACCAAACUCAAGGAUCCUGAGACAAAGCUGAAACUCCGCAUAUCUCUCAAGGUAUCCAGUCGCUAAACAAUUACCAGGAAAAGGUAGCUAACUAUAGAAUGCCCGCAAAGCUCAAAGUGCCUCAAACAUAUUAAUGAUUUUCUUAGCUGCUUCGAUAACCCAUUUCUGCCAUCUCCUGUGUGCUUGAAGGUGGUGUUUGAGUACGGCCUCUGAUGCUUGCGGAAGUUUCCCCAGGGGAAUCAACAUAAUACACACAGAAAAAGGCUCUGGUUGUGGAUGACAGUAACAGAAUCCCCUAAUCUUGAGCCUCAGUGAUAAGAUGGCCAAAAUCUCGUGAAUAUGGGAGACCAAGCAUUCUUUUAGUGCAUCCUGUUAAGGGUUUCAAGAUGAAGGAGUGUUUAGCUGCAAAGAAGAUCUGAAGACCAUUCAAAGGUAUGGUGAUUGAUGAAGUAGCUCACUCUCUCUCUCUCUCUCAAUCUUUCUCUCUCUCACUUAUCACAUCUCUUGCACUGUCUCAAAAACAGAACAUAAAUUCACGAAAACACACGCUCAAAUGCACACAAAAAAAUGAAACACAAACACAACUUAAACUCACUAAGACACAACGAAAUUCAAACACACAAAACCAAAACAUAGCACAGAACGUCCAAACAACUUCCAAAACAGAAAGCAAACUUUUACAAAAAUUCUUUAACCAAAAGUGUGGAUAAUCAUAUUUGAUGUCAAGAACUUGCUUUGUGAAUGUUCCACAUUUCUUACUCUUUUUUAAUAUAUUGCCUUAGAAUAGCUUCUAUUAACUUAUUUCUUGGUAAAUGGUUUCAUGAGAAAGAGGAAAUGUCUCAGAUGCGUUUCAACGUACUCAUGAAUGAUAAGAUGAUAGCUCCCACCGGUUCUGCCUCAAGAUUAGAGAAUGAAUAUAACUUAGUGUGAGCCUGCUGAUGUAUCUGUUAAGGAGUUGGUAAAUAGACUUGCUGAUGUAUCUAUUAAGGAGUUGGUAAAGAGACUUGAAGAAGGACUAACAACACUUAAAGACGUCAGUGAAAAAUUAAAAGUCUUGUGAAUAUGGGAGAGCCAAGCAUUUUCAUGUUAAGGUUAAAAGUAUGAAUGAGAAGCAACGGAUGUAACAGAGCAGCAAAGAAUCUUGGUGUAGCUGAGAACAAGUGACUCUUGGAUGACGUAACUGAGUUAGUUACGGUAACUCUCUCUUGCUCUCUCUCUCUUCAAAAAAACACAUCCAAAAAUGUUCCUUACACAACG